GAACUUUAGCAGCACAUUUACUAAAACUCGAAAGAUACAGAGAGGAUUAACAUGGCCCCUCCGCUAGGAUGAUACAAAUUUGUGAAACAUUCAAAAAGUGGGU